rnacentral:rRNA from 1 species
GACGAACGCUGGCGGCGUGCUUAACACAUGCAAGUCGAACGAAGAGCGAUGGAAGCUUGCUUCUAUCAAUCUUAGUGGCGAACGGGUGAGUAACGCGUAAUCAACCUGCCCUUCAGAGGGGGACAACAGUUGGAAACGACUGCUAAUACCGCAUACGAUCUAACCUCGGCAUCGAGGAUAGAUGAAAGGUGGCCUCUACAUGUAAGCUAUCACUGAAGGAGGGGAUUGCGUCUGAUUAGCUAGUUGGAGGGGUAACGGCCCACCAAGGCGAUGAUCAGUAGCCGGUCUGAGAGGAUGAACGGCCACAUUGGGACUGAGACACGGCCCAGACUCCUACGGGAGGCAGCAGUGGGGAAUCUUCCGCAAUGGACGAAAGUCUGACGGAGCAACGCCGCGGGAGUGAUGACGGCCUUCGGGUUGUAAAGCUCUGUUAAUCGGGACGAAAGGCCUUCUUGCGAAUAGGGAGAAGGAUUGACGGUACCGGAAUAGAAAGCCACGGCUAACUACGUG